AAUACAAAAGAUAAUCCUCUUUGCAAUACCCUUUUCAUUGGUAAUCUUGGAGAGAACAUAAAUGAGGAAGAGUUGAGAGGCCUGUUCACUGCGCAACCUGGUUAUAAGCAGAUGAAGGUAUUGAGACAGGAAAGGCAUACUGUAUGUUUCAUUGAGUUUGAAGAUGUGCAGAGUGCCACCAAUGUGCACCAUACCUUGCAAGUGC